UACGUAGGGUGCGAGCGUUGUCCGGAAUUAUUGGGCGUAAAGGGCUCGUAGGCGGUCUGUCGCGUCGGGAGUGAAAACUCAGGGCUUAACCCUGAGCCUGCUUCCGAUACGGGCAGACUAGAGGUAUGCAGGGGAGAACGGAAUUCCUGGUGUAGUGGUGAAAUGCGUAGAGAUCCGGAGGAACACCAGAGGCGAAGGCGGCCUACUGGGCUGCACCUGACGCUGAGCCGCGAAAGCCAGGGGAGCGAACGGG
rnacentral:rRNA from 1 species